UGGGGAAUAUUGCACAAUGGGGGAAACCCUGAUGCAGCGACGCCGCGUGAACGAAGAAGGUAUUCGUAUCGUAAAGUUCUGUCCUAUGGGAAGAUAAUGACAGUACCAUAGAAGAAAGCUCCGGCUAAAUACGUGCCAGCAGCCGCGGUAAUACGUAUGGAGCGAGCGUUGUCCGGAAUUAUUGGGCGUAAAGGGUACGCAGGCGGUUUAAUAAGUCGAAUGUUAAAGAUCGGGGCUCAACCCCGUAAAGCAUUGGAAACUGAUAAACUUGAGUAGUGGAGAGGAAAGUGGAAUUCCUAGUGUAGUGGUGAAAUACGUUGAUAUUAGGAGGAAUACCAGUAGCGAAGGCGACUUUCUGGACACAAACUGACGCUGAGGUACGAAAGCGUGGGGAGCAAACAGG
rnacentral:rRNA from 1 species